ensembl:lncRNA
AUGCCGCGUUUGUGGAACACACUGAUUAGCACCGCUGAGGGAGGCGGGCUGCUCCCUGCAGGAGAACGUGAUGGUGUCUCUGGCCAACGCGCGCCUUCUGCUUCCUGUGUUCCAGCUGGAGAGGAGGAAGUGGCAGCUGGAGAGGAGGAAGUGGCAGCUGAGGAGGCCGGCGAAGAGGAGGCUGCCGCUGAUGGCGAAGGAGAGACCGUAGCCGAGGUCGUGGCCGAGGUUGCAGAGGUCGUCGCUGAGGCGGCGGAGGAGGUCGCCGAGGCGGCAGAGGAAGUUACAGAGGUCGCUCGUGAAGUGGAGGCGGUCGCGGGAGAGGUGGCUAAGGCGGCCGAAGCCGCCCCCCAAGCCGCCGCAGAACCAGCCGCCGAGGGGCCCGACAGCAACGUGCCGCUGGCUGCUGCUUCUGCUCUAGAAGUACCAAAGAUCAUUGAAGUGACGGAAGAGUUAGCCGCAGCCAUUCAGGACAUCGAUGAGUCCCUUGCACAAGUUGAGGAGGCUACCAAGCCAGCAGAAGAGUCCCCAGCACCAGUAGAGCCUGCACCAGUUGAAGACACCCCAGCACCAGUAGAGGUUGCACCAGUUGAAGAGGCCCCAGCACCAGUGGAGGUUGUUGAUGAGUCCCCAGUAGAGGCUGCACCAGUUGAAGAGGCCCCAGCACCAGUGGAGGUUGUUGAUGAGUCCCCAGUAGAGGCUGCACCAGUUGAAGAGGCCCCAGCACCAGUAGAGGUUGUUGAAGAGUCCCCAGUAGAGGCUGCACCAGUUGAAGAGGCCCCAGUAGAGGCUGCACCAGUUGUUGAGGCCCCGGCACCAGUAGAGGUUGUUGAAGAGGCCCCAGCACCAGUAGAGGCUGCACCAGUUGUUGAGGAAGUCUUGGUACCAUCUGAACCUGAAGUUACCACAGCACUUGCUGAGGAACCAGUCACCACCGCAGUUGAUGAAGAGGCUCUGGCAACCAUCGCUGCAGAAGUAGCGACCCCUAUGGUGGUUGAAGAAGCGGCUACUGAGACCCUUGCAGAAGCUCCGAAGAGAGAGUACAUUGUUGUGGUCCUGGAAGGAACACCUAAAGCUGAUAAGUCACCCAAGGUGCUUGGAGUGGAGUCCAUGACUGGUAGAAUCAUCCCAACUCCAGACGACGACGUCUCUGCUUCUGAGGGUAGGCGACGCCUUCUUAGGAUGCAAAUGCAGUAG